rnacentral:misc_RNA from 1 species
AGAUUGCUGUUGCUGCUGCUGAUGUAAGGGUAAUUGUUGCUGCAAUUGCUGCUGUGGUUGCUGCUGCUGUUGUUGUUGCAUCUGCUGCUGUGGUUGCUGUUGCUGCUGCAGUUGUUGCUGCCCCAUUGGCGGCUGCUGCUGUACCAGCUGGGAUAAUUGUUGUGGGUUUAAUGCCAUUGAAUUCUGGUGCAACUGAGGAGAUG